UACAGAGGGUGCGAGCGUUGUCCGGAAUCACUGGGCGUAAAGGGCGCGUAGGCGGCCUGAUAAGUAGGGGGUGAAAUCUUGCGGCUCAACCGCAAGGCUGCCUUCUAAACUGUCAGGCUGGAGCACGGUAGAGGCAGAUGGAAUUCCCGGUGUAGCGGUGGAAUGCGUAGAGAUCGGGAAGAACACCAGUGGCGAAGGCGGUCUGCUGGGCCGUUGCUGAUGCUGAGGCGCGACAGCGUGGGGAGCAAACAGG
rnacentral:rRNA from 1 species